rnacentral:lncRNA from 1 species
AAUUGCAUACUUUCCAAACUUAACUAAACUAUGUAUGCAAAUGUUUGUGCAUCAAACAUGCCCUCAUCAGUUACUUUCCCACCAGUGUGAGACACAUAGCUACAUGUACCAUCGGAAAUCUAGGACAUAUUGCUACACAAAGAGAGAAGACGGGGAAGGGCACUGGUAGAUAUAUCCAAUUAUCAUGUAAAUAAUUUUUUUUUUACUUUUAUCAAUAUUUAGAUAUGCCAGACCAGCAUGGAGUACCAGAAUUCAUUUUCCGGCCUGUCCUCAAAAGGAAGGAGCUUAUAAAAACUGGCGGCAGAGACUACUGACUCAAAGGCAUAAAAGGCAAUCUGCAUUGAGCAGAAGCAUAUUCCUCUAGUAAACUACAAGGAGGAAGUGACAUAGCGUCCAAGAAAUUCAACAAGGGAGAUGCCCUAGAUGAGUUCCCAGCACUGACAAUUUAGUCAGUGCUGACAUCUUUAAUGAAAUACCCCCAAGAUACCAAGUUGAGACCGAGUGGUGUCACGCCAUGGAAGAGAUGGGGCUAGAAACCACUGAUGUCAGUAACUAAGGGGAACUAUUACAGGUGGGCAUAGCCAGCUUGGAACAACCAGGGCCAAGGCAGAAUCUGCCUGGGUCAUAUCCCAGCAAUCGAAAUUGGCUGGUCGAGCUGGAGCUGGAGCUCUCACACUCAAAGCCGGAUGCGAUUUUCUCUGAUAGGGACCAAUGCUGCUCUUCCACAGUUCCACUCCUUAUUCAGACACAAUGUGUCGAAACCUGAUGCCUGGGUCCUCACAGUCUAGGUGACAAGCAGGGUCCAGGAGAGUAAUUGAUGACCUCAAAAACAGAAUACCUUCUGCAUCAUCUUCACAUGAAAUGCCAGAGAUUGCCCUGAUGGAGUAGAAGAAAAGAGAAAAAUAUUAAGCCUGGUAACCCAUAGGGGCAUGAGGGUGAUAUGUAAAAUGAAUAUGGACCAGAGGUCUAAGUCAACAGAACCGAAGGAUUUUUGUUCCGGGGGGGGGGGGGGGGCAAAGUCAAGGUAAUCGGGACAAACAUGAUCUUACACUGGUGGAUUCAUAUGGGGGUGGGGAUGCACACCCCUUUUAGAUUGAAAGAUCAAUUUACGGAUAGCUUCAGUGAAGAAAAAGACCAUUUGGGUGACAAAGCAAUAUUUAAGUGGUUGUUUUCCAUUCUAAAAUUAUGUUUCAAAAUUGCUUAAAUAGAUCUUUAAGCAUUUUCAAUCUAUGAAAUUUGUUUUUAAUGUCCUGAAUUAGAAUUAUGAUUUUUGGCUAGAUUUAGUUAUAAAAUAGAAGUAUAACUGAAAGUGAUCAACACCCAAUGCCAUUACUAUGGUUUCCCACAUGUUUAGAAAAUCAAUUUUGCAAGUCUACCCCAAGAUGAACGUAUAUGGCAACUUUCAUGUGCACUAGCAAAAAAAAUACAAAAGGGAUCCUAAAUAAGGUUUCCCGGUUUUGGACAAUAUGUGGUUACCAUAUAUGGUGAAACAAUUUUUUUUUUCUUUGGACAAAUGCAAAAAUGUGUACUGCACGUCUUUAGCUCACAACAAAUGAGUAAGCCAAAUUUCAUUAGAAAUUAUUCAAAAACUAAUAAAGUUGUUUAAACUACAAGAUUUUUCCUUAAUUUUUCUCUCUAUAUGCUGUUACCAUUGCAAUACAUUAUCCAACACACACAAAGAAGUCUUGCACAUCUUUACAUAAAGACCAGUGGGCAUGUUAAUUUUAUCAGUAUUGGUUAAAAACUGAGAUUUUUACCUAAUUUUAACAAUAUAUUUUGAGCAUGGCAACAUACUUUCUGUCACAUGCGGAAAAUAUGUCUUGCAAAUAUAAAAUCAUUCUGAUGACAGCAAAAUCUAAUGGUUUUUUUUGUAUUUAGAUACUUUUUCAAACAUGAAUCAUUUAAUCGAUGAAAAAAAAUGAAUGUCCUGAACUA